GCUGGGUGGACUUGUCUAUACCUUCUCAGCAAAAAAACAAAAACAGGAACAAAACAAAAGAAAACAUGUGCUUCGCAGGGAACUCUGAAGCCUUGGGAUGAGCAACCCUUAACCUCCUUAAGGUGUGUUCCGCCCACCUUCUCCUCCUCUCCUCGCCCUCUCUCCUCCCCGUGGUUCUCUGCAGGGCUGCCUGGGUGCAGCAGAGCAAGGCGAGGCUUAUUCAGGUAGAAGCCGGUGCAUGCAGGAGGGGGAGACAGGAGUUUAGGGUGUUUUCACGUGGGGACUAAGCUGGGGAAGGAAUGAAGGAGAGGGAGGUUUCUGGAGCCCAGAAACAGGAAGAAGGCCCAGUCGGUACUAAACCCAGCACUGUCCGAGUCCAGCCUCCUCUCCCUUCCCUCAGUGCUCUGGGGUCUGAGAGAACUCAGCGGGAUCUCUGGGACCCAGAAAAACAAACAACGGCUGCAGGGGGGGGCACUGGAGCCGUCUGGAGAGCCGGUCACUGUGAACAGUGGGAUGUGUGCACAGGCACUGUCUAGAAGGAGCCCGCCGUAAGGACCUAAAGGCCGGGCCGUGGGGUGGUGGAUGAGACGAGCCGGAUGCCACGGCCGGUGGGUGAACGCUUCCUAGCCUUCUUGCCACCCCCCUCCCCGCCUACACACACAGGCCCCCUGGGGAGGAACUGACUCUAUCAGAGCUGCUGGCUCGCAACCCUGUCGAUUUUUCGCUGCAAUCCUGACAAAGAACCGCUGCGCCACCUGGUGGCCGUACCUGGGAACAUCACUUCUAAUCACCCAGAAUCCAGGCAAGAAGUGCGGCCCGUACCAGGUUUGCGGAAGGAUCUGUGGAGGACAUCAGUUCACCAAACUCAUAUACGCGGGUACAUGUUUCCCCGUACGUGAUGCCACAAAUACUUUAUGACAUUGAGAGAGAUUUUUAAUUAAAUAAUUAUUUUAUUUAUCUGUA